rnacentral:tRNA from 1 species
GGGCCUAUGGUCUAGUGGCUACGAGAAAUGCGUUACAUUUCUGGACGUGUCUUUCGCCACAUAUGACUACUCGCUUACACCGAGUCGAUCCCCGGUUCGAGUCCGGGUGGGCCCA